UUAAUAAAAUUUCUUAGUAAGUAAACUGUUAAUGUAAUCAUAAAGACAUUUUUGCAGUAAUCAUAAGAUAGAUAGAUAGAUAGAUAGAUAGAUAGAUAGAUAGAUAGAUAGAUAGAUAGAUACCUUCUCCACUGUAAAGGCUUUUAAUAAUGCCCGCUGUAACUGUGUCAUCAAUCCAGACAGGAUACAACAAAUGGGCGAAAAGUUUCGGAUGUAAUCUCCGGCAUCUCCACUAUUUCUGGUGAUUCUUUUGAAUCCAUAGAAACGUUUUAUGUUUUAUAAACUCCUUAAUUUAGCUUCAAUCGCACAAGAGCUAGCCGCUUAUUUUCUGGUAGUUGUGGGCAUGUCUUAACGGGGAGAGGCAUUUCCAGGUGACCAUCCAUAUUCCGUUGUCAUCUUUUGUUCAGUAAUUGCAUGAACUGUAUGUCAUCCUGUGAUAUGCCCUUUUCCCCAGGAUUUGUAUCUUUGACAUCGGACUCAAGGACUCUGAUGACAGUGGCCAGUGUCAAUGAUGGAAGUUCCUUGACAGAUACACGAUGACACAGACCUGUCACUUCUGUUGACUUUACAAUCUGAGGUGUACAGUGGACUGUGGAAGGAGAGACCCGUUGUGAUCAAGUGUGCUAUUGAGGAUCCAGUCAAGACUGACGGAGCUCCAGACUGUACUGCAAGAGGAGAUGAGCUUAUUUGACAAACCCACUCGUGGAGCCUCUAUGGAUGAAUUUAAAGAGAUCCUGCACAGUUUCCAAAAGGCUAAGCUUGGUGAGCAGCCAUCUUUGAACACCUUGGUGGACAGGGUCAUCACUCUGGCUUGUAUCAAUCAGGAUGGCAAAGUGUCUCUAGCAGAGGCCAAGUCUAUCUGGGCUCUUCUCCAGAUCAAUGAAUUCC